GCGACACUAGCUCAGUUGGUAGAGCGCAACCUUGGCAAGGUUGAGGUCACGAGUUCGAACCUCGUGUGUCGCUCCA
rnacentral:tRNA from 1 species